AAUUACUUUUGCGCUACAGGUUUCCAAAAUUUAGGAACGAAGAGGGAAUGCCGUGUAAACCGGCAACAGUACCCGCUGCUGUAAGUUCAUAAAAAACCUCUCCCAUACCUUUGCCACUGUGGUUUUAAAGUCCGCGGGAAGGCCGGGAAUAAGGUGAACGAGUCAGAAGACCUGCCUGUUAUUGUUUAACAAU
rnacentral:ncRNA from 2 species